GUUAUUAUAAUUGUACUAUAAAUACCAAAAUAUAUUUAAUUUUACUCAUUCUUUCCAAUUUCUUCCUUUAUUUGUUCGAAUACCAUAUAAAACUCCUCUAUAAUAUGUAAGAGCUCCGUCCGAAUACCAGAACUCCUAGAGACGUAUGAAUAAUUAUUGCUUCCACAUAGGUAAGUAGGCUCAACGGUUUUACUGAAGAAGGCAAGUUAUUUUUCAGGAUUUUCAGCAGCUAUACAUUACGUCAAUAUUGAUCAUCACCUUUUGUUUAUUGUUUUUAUUUUCUUCUCUUCUUUUUUAAGCAGAGUAGACGGUUUCAAUAUAAAAUCCAGCAAAGUAUAACAAUUGUAAUGGUAUUUUUUAUUUUUUUUAAUGAUUUGCUUCUAAUCAGUCCAAGUUACAUGGUGGUGUUUAGUUUUACAUAAACCAAGCUAAUGCCAAAAGUUUAAACUGUAUUGACAUGUUACUGCAAAAUUCAAUCUUGAUUUCACAAUCAUAGAAUAGCUACCUUGUUUUGUUCCGUCUCUUUUAACUUGGUUAACGGGAUGUCAGUUGGAUUGUGGCUUUCAAUUAAGCAACUGGGAACAGAGUUGUAGUAUACUACUCCCAUGUUUUAAUUGGUUCAAUCUUAAAUCGCUUUUUUUUUUCUAACUUUUUUUUACUGAAGUAAUCAGGCACUUAUUACUAUAUUGUGAGCUUUUAGUCUUGGUGUUAUUUUUAAUGUAUCUGCAACAAAAAUUUCCUGGUCUAGUCCUGUAGACUGUAGUAUGGAGGACAGGCUUAGCCAAUUGCCAGAUGACGUUCUUCUUUCUAUUCUUUCUAAGUUGACAUUGAAAGAAGCAGUGCAAGUUGUCUUUCAAGUCGAUGGAGUUAUAUUUGAACAUUGAAAGAAGCAGUGCUUGCAAGUUGUCUUUCAAGUCGAUGGCGUUAUAUUUGGACACAUGUCACACGGCUCAACUUUGACCUUCAGAGGCAGGAGUUGGAGGGGUAUUAUACAGAGUUUGGAAGUGAGGAAUCAUUGAGGCUUAUCAGUUUGGUUAAUCAUGUUUUGGGUUUGCACAAGUGUUCUCUUUUAGAAGAAUUCACUGUCGCUUCUCCUUUUUACACUAGUUUUCAAUGUGAAUUUGAUAAGUGGCUGAAAUUUGCAUUGUCUACAAAAGCCCAAAGCCUUAAGAUAAAACAGAUCCCUCAAGACUGGCAAUGGCUCUUCUCCAUUCAUGCUUGUUUGGAUUAAAAGAGGUUCCAGGACUUGUCGUCCUCGCCAGUCUUUGGGUUUAAAUAUCUCAAAGUGCUGACUUUUGACGGUCUUGAUGUUGAUAAUCAAGUGGUCAACAUUUUCCUUUCAAGCUGUCCCCUUCUUGAACAACUAUCAAUUCGAGAGUUUACCCAAUUGCAACAUCUGGAAAUUGGACCUUCCCUUAAGUUGAAGCAUUUGGAGAGUGUCACUGCAAUUUAGAUUAUCUGGAGAUUUGUAAUGUCAAUCUUGUCUCGUUCAGUUUCAAUAGAAAUAGAAGGAACAAAACAAACUUGCAUCUAGAAAAUGUUUAUUCGGUUGCUCAUCUUCAUAUUGAGGUUUACCUUGAAUCGCUGCAUAGACUCAUUGAUUUAAUUACAACGAAAUUUACUCAACUGGUGAAGCUUUCACUUGAAGUUGAUCAUCUCCAGUUUGAGGGUCUCGGUUGUUAUCAUUCUUUUCCAAAAUUCAACAAUCUCAAAUGGCUUAUAGUGUUCUUUAAAGACGCUCUCGAUAGCACUCUCCUUGAAGUCACUCCACUUCUGCAGGCAUCUCCGUAGCUGCAAACGUUCGAGAUCAAGAUUAGAUGGAUUAAUACAAGGAUCUUCGUGAUAAUGCAUAUUUUCUGCAACGGUUUUGGCAAAAUACGUAUCAACAUCUCAAAGGGGUCAGAUAUGUAGGUUAUCUCGGGAGUUCAGCUGAUAAGGAAUUUAUGACAUACCUUAAUAAAAAAUCUUUAGUACUUGAGAAAGUCAUCGUAUUCAUUGCGAUCAUUCGUCAUAUUCUAGAAAGAAGAGUUCCAAAGUUGAGCGAAGAUCAAGAAACCGUGCUUGGUGGCAGCUACAAGGGAUAGUUACCAAGGAAGUUGAGUGAAUGAUACUUUAAAUCACCUUCUCCUUCAUAAGUCUCAAUAGAUUGAUUUUUCCCCU